GACAGAGGGUGCAAACGUUGUUCGGAAUUACUGGGCGUAAAGCGUGCGCAGGCGGUUUGUUAAGUCCGUUGUGAAAGCCCCGAGCUCAACUUGGGAAUUGCAGUGGAUACUGGCAGGCUGGAGUACGGGAGAGGAAGGUGGAAUUCCCGGUGUAGCAGUGAAAUGCGUAGAUAUCGGGAGGAACACCAGUGGCGAAGGCGGCCUUCUGGACCAGUACUGACGCUCAUGCACGAAAGCGUGGGGAGCAAACAGG
rnacentral:rRNA from 1 species